rnacentral:rRNA from 1 species
UCCCCUAGUAACGGCGAGGGAAGAGGGAUAAGCUCAAUUUUUAAAUCUGAUCGGUUUUACUUAUCAAAAUUGUAGUUUCAAAAAACGUUUUCUGUAUCUCAACGUUAAUCAAAAUCUUUUGGAAUAAGGUAUCAUGGAGGGGGACAAUCCCGUUCAUGGUUAACGAUGAGUUACUUUUUGAUACGUUUUCAAAGAGUCGAGUUGUUUGGGAUUGCAGCUCAAAAUGGGAGGUAAAUUUCUCCUAAAGCUAAAUAUUGGCGAGAGACCGAUAGCGAACAAGUACCGUGAGGGAAAGAUGAAAAGAACUUUGAAAAGAGAGUUAAACAGUACGUGAAAUUGUUGAAAGGGAAACGAUUGAAGUCAGUCGUACUAACGGGAAAUCAACCUUUUUGAGAUGUAAAUUUUGGAUUCGAAAGAGUGUUUCGGGUUCAACUAUUUGCGCUUUAGGGGGGCGUAAUUUCUCGUUCGGUAGGUUAACAUCGAUUUUGAACAUUAUAAAAUGAUCGGAGGAAUGUAGCUUCGAUCUCGUAUUGAAGUGUUAUAGCCUUUGGUAGAUGUAAUGAUCAAGAUCGAGGAUUGCAACGAAUACCCU